rnacentral:lncRNA from 1 species
UCCGCUAGAAACGCUCUGGGCGCGCACUCCUGGAGACGCGGAGGCCCGGGCGCUCCAGACCAGUGUCCUUGUAGGAGGCUUCUUCACGAAGCUUAGAGUUUGGCCUUUCAUAGGGAAAGACUUGCUCGGGAGCAAGUCUAAGGGAUUUUAAGGGAUUUUAAAUCUUCCUGGGCCAGGGCUAGGGAGCUCUAGUGACAGUGUCUUGGUCUGGAAUCCAACUCUCCAAUUUUGAGGCCGCAGGGAGGAAUUCUGAGACUUUAGAGGCCGCACAGCCUUCAGCGCGCUCACCGCGUCCAGGCGUCAGUGAGGGGCUAUCUCGAGGCGCGAGUGCACAAAAGGUAGCGCGAGUCUCUUCUCAGGCGAUCCAGAUAAGAGGAAAUGAGAGCCGGGUUUUCUGACUUCCAACUCAUUAGGGACCAGGUUCUUUUUCUUCAGGAUCAGGCACAGAGACUGACUGAAUGGCUCCAAUUAUCAGGAUUUGAAAACCCAGUAUCAGAAUCUACCACUUUGUAUGGAGGAGGGGAGGAGACGAGUGGGGACCAGCUUGACAUCCAGUCUUCACCUGGACAUAUGGAAAGAACAAAUGUGCGAUCUGCUCGUUCCCUCUGAAGGUCUCUGUUACGUAUUUCCUCCUCUCCUCCAGAGCAUAAUAACCAAUGACUGCUCUCAGAAAGAACAGGCCUGAGGGAGAGGGAAAAGCGGAUACCCACCUGUGUCGCUGUUUGCGUGCCAAGUCCAGGAACAGUCCAUACAGCCCUGCUGCAUCCCACGACGCUGUCACAAAGCAGGAGUUCAUCCGAGGCCAAGAUGGAGAAACUGAGGCCCAGAAAUUGAUGUCCAGAAUGCUUUGCUCUUAGCCACUGUACUAUUAUGGCAUAUUUUAUCUUUAUGUAUUGCAUCAUUUCAUGGAUUCAAGUUUAUCAAUGUCCUUUGACAAGUUUAAAAAUCUGUCUGCUAAAAUCUAUCCAAUACAUUAAGGAAAAGUCCCACUUGGCACAUCUCCCACACCAGAUGUUAAUUAUUCAUACUGCAUGACUGAGGAUUUUGGAGGCAGAGAGAGAUUCAUCUGCAAUAUUUGGAACACCAAUGGAGGUCUACGUCAACACAGAAUUUAUACAGCAGCUGGUGCUAGUCAGAGCUAAUGACAGAAUUUCAGUUUAAUAAAAAGACCCCCAACUGAGCACACCAUCU